CAUGGCUCAAGACGAACGCUGGCGGCGUGCUUAACACAUGCAAGUCGAACGAUGAAGCCUAGCUUGCUAGGUGGAUUAGUGGCGAACGGGUGAGUAAUACGUGAGUCGACCUACCUUUUGACUCUGGGAUAAGCCUGGGAAAACUGGGUCUAAUACCGGAUACGACCAAUCUCCGCAUGGGGUGUUUGGUGGAAAGCGUUAUGGAGUGGUUUUAGAUGGGCUCACGGCCUAUCAGCUUGUUGGUGAGGUAAUGGCUUACCAAGGCGACGACGGGUAGCCGGCCUGAGAGGGUGACCGGCCACACUGGGACUGAGACACGGCCCAGACUCCUACGGGAGGCAGCAGUGGGGAAUAUUGCACAAUGGGCGCAAGCCUGAUGCAGCGACGCCGCGUGAGGGAUGACGGCCUUCGGGUUGUAAACCUCUGUUAGCAUCGAAGAAGCGAAAGUGACGGUAGGUGCAGAGAAAGCGCCGGCUAACUACGUGCCAGCAGCCGCGGUAAUACGUAGGGCGCGAGCGUUGUCCGGAAUUAUUGGGCGUAAAGAGCUUGUAGGGCGGUUGGUCGCGUCUGCUGUGAAAGGCUGGGGCUUAACCCUGGUUUUGCAGUGGGUACGGGCUAACUAGAGUGCAGUAGGGGAGACUGGAAUUCCUGGUGUAGCGGUGGAAUGCGCAGAUAUCAGGAGGAACACCGAUGGCGAAGGCAGGUCUCUGGGCUGUAACUGACGCUGAGAAGCGAAAGCAUGGGGAGCGAACAGGAUUAGAUACCCUGGUAGUCCAUGCCGUAAACGUUGGGCACUAGGUGUGGGGGACAUCCCACGUUUUCCGCGCCGUAGCUAACGCAUUAAGUGCCCCGCCUGGGGAGUACGGCCGCAAGGCUAAAACUCAAAGAAAUUGACGGGGGCCCGCACAAGCGGCGGAGCAUGCGGAUUAAUUCGAUGCAACGCGAAGAACCUUACCAAGGCUUGACAUAUACUGGACUGCGUCAGAGAUGGCGUUUCCCUUCGGGGCUGGUAUACAGGUGGUGCAUGGUUGUCGUCAGCUCGUGUCGUGAGAUGUUGGGUUAAGUCCCGCAACGAGCGCAACCCUCGUUCUAUGUUGCCAGCACGUGAUGGUGGGGACUCAUAGGAGACUGCCGGGGUCAACUCGGAGGAAGGUGGGGAUGACGUCAAAUCAUCAUGCCCCUUAUGUCUUGGGCUUCACGCAUGCUACAAUGGCCGGUACAGAGGGUUGCGAUACUGUGAGGUGGAGCUAAUCCCUAAAAGCCGGUCUCAGUUCGGAUUGGGGUCUGCAACUCGACCCCAUGAAGUCGGAGUCGCUAGUAAUCGCAGAUCAGCAACGCUGCGGUGAAUACGUUCCCGGGCCUUGUACACACCGCCCGUC
rnacentral:rRNA from 1 species